UAUAUUCUCCUGUGGGAACACACUAUGUACAUAGAUAAUGGAUGGUGAUGUAAGAACUGGUUGAAGGGCUAGAGGAUAUUUAGUCUGGAAAAGAGAAGACUCAGGGGGAUGUGACAGCUGUUUUCAGGCUGUCACAUAGGAGACUGGUUCUGUGUGGCCCCAGAGGGAAGACCCAGGAGCAAAGAAUGGAAGUCACAAGAGGACAAAUUUCAGCUUACUUCCUAGCAGUCAGAGCUGUCCCAAAGUGGAACUGAGCUGUCUAUGAAAGCAGUUGAUUGAAGCAGCCCAUUGGACUUCUGUAAGCACUGAGUAUGAAGAAAGUCAUCAUGUCCUAGCAUUGCUGAGUUUUCCAGUUCAUCGCGUUGCCCCAUGGCUAAGUCUCUGAGAAGAGGACCUACCCAUGAAAUGUCCUCUUCUAAAGUUUAACUCUGAGGCUUCUUUAUAACAUUAGAAGAUCCAGAAAGCAAAAGCACUGUAAAGUGCUCUGAAUGCAGAAAUGGUUUAUGUACAGACCCAGUGAUGGACUGACUGCACAUCUGUCACCCAAAGAUCAGCUCAGAUUCUGCCUUUACAAAAGGGAAACACUGCUGUCACAGAAGCAUUAGAAGAACCAGAGAGGAGUAUGGUGUGGUACUUUGUUGGGACCACGCAUUGUCCCCCUGAGGUGGGACCUGAGACCUACUCCAAAUGACAGGACCCAAGCAGUACCCCUACACUGAGAUGCCUUCAACGAGGAUGAAAAUGACAUCAAGAUCAGCUUCCAACAGCACCUAUUGCAAACUAUUUAACCUGAAAAGGCUACAAGCAAAGACCAAAGUGGAUGAGGAGUUGGUACAUGACUUCUUGUUUGCAGAUGACUCUGCACUCAGUGCAGCCUCUGAGGCUGAGAUGCAGCAGAGUAUGGAUCAGUUCUCUGCCACCUGUGCUAAUUUUGGCCUAACAACACCAAAAAAACAUGCCGUACAUAUGUGGAACCCUGGUCACAGUACAUGGAGAAAUUCUGAAUGCUACGGAUAAGUUCACUACCUUGGUAGUGUACUCUCCAGGGAUGUAUAUUUAGAUG